UAUCAAAUUAAGCGUUACAUAAUAGCGUUAUCUAUUUAUGAUAUAUAUAACAGUGCUACUAAACCGUUAACCCAAUCGUUAUGUAUGAGCAUGGAUUCAACAACGGUUGUUUCAGUGUUAAGAAUACCGUUAUGUAUGAGCGUAAUUUAUAACGGUAGUUGUAAUCGUUAUUCCCUACUGUUAUCUAUGAUUUAUUUUUUUUAUUUUUAUUUUUAUUUUUAAAAAUAAAAUUAUUCUUCUAAAAACUAAAUAUAACCCUCCCGCCACCUUUUCGCUCCAAAUCCCAAACCUUUCUUUCUAAAUUAAUUUCACCCAAAUCACCCUCUUCAAAAAAAAAAUUCACCCAAAUCACCAAAUCAUCUUCUUCCUUAGAAUCAAUCCCCCCCCCCCCGCCUUCGCCCGCUCCGUCCCUUCUACCUGCCACCGCGCGCCGCUCUCGCUUCAGCCGUGCGCCCCCUGCCACCCCUCCUUGCAGAGACUGCACCGCACAGUCGCGCAUAGGGCUGAGCCCCUGCCUGGCCUUUCCAGUCGCCCCAGGGUCCAGCCGAGCCCCCAGCCUCCCCUAGAGUUCAGACUGCCACCGCGAGCUGGCCUCGCCAGCCGGAGUCCGAUUUCUCCGAUUCUCUCUGGUAAAAUUUUCCUCAAUCUCUCGAUUUAGAUAUAUUGUCAUCUAAAAAUUAGUUUCUAGGGUUUGUUGUCAUCUAAAUUCGUCCAGUUUAUUUGAACCGAAUUCGUCUAGUUUAUUUGAACUAAAUUCGUCUAGUUUAUUUGAAUUUAUGAAAGUUUUCCUCAAUCUGCAUUUACCUUGUUGCUUUAACAUUUUUACUCUUCCAGGUCAGUGUGUAUGCAGGCAUUUAAUCAGAUUUUAUUUGCCUAUUUUAGCUUGAUAUUGUGAUUUAUUAGCCUCAUGGGUUGCACCAGUGUGGUCUGACUGAUUUUGGGAUUUGAUUUAACCUUACUUCUCGUAUGAACUAUGUAGCAUUUAACAGUUGUGAAAUUAAGGUUAGGUUUUCCACUUCUGCUGCUCAACCAGUUCUCAUUUUUUUCUUUUGUGCUGAUAACAAAUAUGUUUGUGUUUAUCUAGUCUGUAGAUGAUAGGAAAGGGGCAGUUGCUUGAUCUUCGAAGGCCAUUCCUUCUGGAAACUUGAUUAAUGGUUUUCAGGAUAAGCUGAGCUGCUUUGGUUUAUUUAAAUUGAAGUGAAUUACUUGAGAUUAUGCAAUUAGCAUAUUGUUUAUUUCUCUUUUAACUAUGUCAUUGUAAGGAUCUUUCUUUUGCUUCAUUCCCUUUCAAGUGUUUAGUGAGCAUAAUAACUCAUUAUAUUUCAGUGGAAUUUUAAACUGCUCCCUACUCCUCACAUAUUUUUUUCUAGAUCUAUGAAUGUUUAUUCUUCGUUGGCAGACAAGGAAGCCUUACACGAUUACUAAGCAGCGGGAGCGAUGGACUGAAGAGGAGCACAAUAGGUUUCUAGAAGCUCUCAAGCUUUAUGGCCAUGCUUGGCAGCGAAUAGAAGAACAUAUAGGAACCAAGACUACUGUGCAGAUAAGAAGUCAUGCACAGAAGUUUAUCACAAAGGUGAGUGGACGGCCACCGGGAGUCGGCCUCGUCCAGCUGGAGCUAAAUUAGUGUCCAAGUUCUCCGAUUCACUCUGGUAAAUUUUUCCUCAACCUUUCAAUUUACAUACGUUGUCAUCUAAAUUAGUGUUCAACAUUUCUUAGUGUGUGAAUUUGUUAAUUUUUGUUAAUUUCUUAGGGUUCAAUGAUGGACGAAAAGUUAAUGAGAUUAGUUGAGUCUUGUAUACAAUGUAUGUGUGUUUUGAAUUUAGUUUGAUGAAAUUGAUUGAGUAUAUGAGUGUUUAUAUAUACUGGAAGCAUGCUAGUUUUGAUUUAGAGUUUAUGAAUGACAAUUGUUGGACUGGAAUCCUGUGCUGUUUUACAGAAGAAUAAAGCUUAUGUUUCGAUGAGUUUUCGUGGCUUGAUGGCAUUGAAAUUUUAGUAUGUGUAUCUAUGAUAUGUCUACUUUGUCUCUGCAAAAUUUCAUGUCUAUUGGAUGAUGUUUGCUAUUUUUAAGAUAUUUGGGAAAAAUGAUGACAAAAACUGUCAACUGUUGGUAGGCUUCACCAAAACGUUUAUAUCUCUUAAACCAUGAGGGAUUUUGUAUCACCGUUUUUUUUAAGCGAAAAUAGACUAAAAUACCUUUCUAAAAAAAUAAGUCUUAUAUUUUUAUGACCUCUGAAACAGAUCAGUUUAUUCUUUCAAAAAAGCUCUGUUUUGCUGUCAUAUUUUUUCAACAGUAAAAGUAUCUGAGUUUCAUAGUCUAUUAGGCAGAUCAUAUGAACGAAUUUCCUUUUGAAAAUUUUACCAAAUCUUCUUGGAUAUCUUUGGUAUAGGCUGAUUAAGUUUGAUGAAUUUUUGUAAAGGUUUGCUUUGUUUUCAGAUGGCCUAAACAAUAUUGGCAGAAACUGUCAAUUUUUGACAGCCUGCACUAAAGGAGUAAUAUCUCUAAAACAUUUAAUCUUUUUGGUUAACUAUCACUUUUGGAGUAAACUACACUUCAUGAAGUUUUUGAAAUAAAAUGGUAUGAAAUUUUAUGUUAAUUGAGUUUGUUGUUAUGAAUUUUUAAAGAUGGCACAAAAACAACACACUUUCUAGAUAACAACUUGAUCAUAUUAUACACACUUUAACUAAGUAUGGAAAAUGUUGUCAAGACAUGAAUGUGUUAGCUUUAUUAAUG